CGUGGAGGAUAACGUUGCGUCAGCAACGGCCCGAAGGGCGAGGCGAAGCCGAGUCAUCCUGCACGACCCACCA
rnacentral:sRNA from 4 species